rnacentral:lncRNA from 1 species
UUAUAAUUACCAUUUAAUUGCAAAUUCAUUAAACAUAGCCAUGCAAUACUAUCCUCAACCUUUCCUUGCCAUCACCUUUUUUUCAUCAAUAUACUUUGCUAAUGAUAAUGUAUAUUAUAUACUAUAGUACUACUCAUAAAACACAAAACUUAAUAACAGGUUUCCUUUUGUUAAUGAUCAAAAUAUAAAGCAUUGAAACUUAUGUAUAAUUUCAUAGACAACAUUAACUAUAAUUUGUUAACCCUACAAUGUUGUUAUUAAUAUAUAGCAUUAUAAAAUUUAUUGUGUAAUCCUAUAUUAAAAAAAUUAUUUAAGCUUAGAACAUGAAAGAGUCUCAAUCUUAAGAUAAGGCAUGUUGGACUAGAGAGAUGCUACACGUAUUUUUUGACAUUUGUAUAAAGACAAUUAGGAAGGGAAUGAG